GAUACGACCGUACCGCAAACCGACACUGGUGCGCGAGAUGAGUAUUCUAAGGCGCUUGAGAGAACUCAGGAGAAGGAACUCGGCAAAUUGACACCGUAACUUCGGAAGAAGGUGUGCCCUAUUAGUGUGUAGUGAACAACGAAGCAUGAAUGGGUUGCAAAAAAUCGGUGGCUGCGACUGUUUAUUAAAAACACAGCACUCUGCAGACACGAUAGUGGACGUAUAGGGUGUGACGCCUGCCCGGUGCUGGAAGAUUAAAUGAUGGGGUGCAAGCUCUUGAUUGAAGUCCCAGUAAACGGCGGCCGUAACUAUAACGGUCCUAAGGUAGCGAAAUUCCUUGUCGGGUAAGUUCCGACCUGCACGAAUGGCGUAACGAUGGCCACACCGUCUCCUCCUGAGACUCAGCGAAGUUGAAAUGUUUGUGAUGAUGCAAUCUCCCCGCGGAAAGACGGAAAGACCCCAUGAACCUUUACUGUAGCUUUGUAUUGGACUUUGAACAGAUCUGUGUAGGAUAGGUGGGAGGCUUUGAAGCAGGGUCGCUAGAUCUUGUGGAGCCAACGUUGAAAUACCACCCUGGUGUGUUUGAGGUUCUAACCUAGGUCCAUUAUCUGGAUCGGGGACAGUGCAUGGUAGGCAGUUUGACUGGGGCGGUCUCCUCCCAAAGCGUAACGGAGGAGUUCGAAGGUACGCUAGUUACGGUCGGACAUCGUGACGAUAGUGCAAUGGCAUAAGCGUGCUUAACUGCGAGACUGACAAGUCGAGCAGAUGCGAAAGCAGGACAUAGUGAUCCGAUGGUUCUGUAUGGAAGGGCCAUCGCUCAACGGAUAAAAGGUACUCUGGGGAUAACAGGCUGAUACCGCCCAAGAGUUCAUAUCGACGGCGGUGUUUGGCACCUCGAUGUCGGCUCAUCUCAUCCUGGGGCUGUAGCCGGUCCCAAGGGUAUGGCUGUUCGCCAUUUAAAGAGGUACGUGAGCUGGGUUUAAAACGUCGUGAGACAGUUUGGUCCCUAUCUUCCGUGGGCGCUGCAGAUUUGAGGAAGCCUGCUCCUAGUACGAGAGGACCGGAGUGGACACACCUCUGGUGUAUCGGUUGUCACGCCAGUGGCAUUGCCGAGUAGCUAAGUGUGGAAGAGAUAACCGCUGAAAGCAUCUAAGCGGGAAACUCGUUUCAAGAUGAGAUCUGCCGGGGCCUUGAGCCCCCUAAAGAGUCGUUCAAGACCAGGACGUUGAUAGGUCAGGUGUGGAAGCGCAGUAAUGCGUUAAGCUAACUGAUACUAAUUGCUCGUGCGGCUUGACC
rnacentral:rRNA from 1 species